rnacentral:rRNA from 1 species
UACAGAGGAUGCAAGCGUUAUCCGGAAUGAUUGGGCGUAAAGCGUCCGCAGGUGGUUUUGUAAGUCUGCUGUUAAAGCGUUAGGCUCAACCUAAUAAGGGCAGUGGAAACUAUGAGACUAGAGUAUGUUAGGGGUAGAGGGAAUUCCCAGUGUAGCGGUGAAAUGCGUAGAGAUUGGGAAGAACACCGGUGGUGAAAGCGCUCUGCUAGGACAAUACUGACACUGAGGGACGAAAGCUAGGGGAGCGAAUGGG